GUGUCAGCCGCCGCGGUAAUACCAGCUCUCCGAGUUGUGGGGACGUUUAUUGAGCCUGAAGCAUCCGUAGCCGGCUGUGCAAGUCCCCUGUUAAAUCCAGCGACUAAUCGUUGGCCUGCGGGGGAUACUGCUCGGCUAGGGGGCGGGAGAGGCCGUCGGUAUUCUUGGGGUAGGGGUGAAAUCCUAUAAUCCCAGGAGGACCACCAGUGGCGAAGGCUGUCGGCUAGAACGCGCCCGACGGUGAGGGAUGAAAGCUGGGGGAGCGAACCGGAUUAGAUACCCGGGUAGUCCCAGCUGUAAACGAUGCAGGCUAGGUGUUAGGGCGGCUACGUGCCGCUCUAGUGCCGCAGGGAAGCUGUUAAGCCUGCCGCCUGGGGAGUACGGUCGCAAGGCUGAAACUCAAAUGAAUUGACGGGG
rnacentral:rRNA from 1 species